UACGGAGGGGGCUAGCGUUGUUCGGAUUUACUGGGCGUAAAGCGCACGUAGGCGGCUUUGCAAGUUAGAGGUGAAAGCCCGGGGCUCAACCCCGGAAUUGCCUUUGAGACUGUAUCGCUAGAACGUCGGAGAGGUAAGUGGAAUUCCGAGUGUAGAGGUGAAAUUCGUAGAUAUUCGGAAGAACACCAGUGGCGAAGGCGACUUACUGGACGACUGUUGACGCUGAGGUGCGAAAGCGUGGGGAGCAAACAGG
rnacentral:rRNA from 1 species